CCUACUAGAGAUCAGAACAGGUACAUAAUGAGAGAUCUCCAUCAGUGAGCUUGGCACCAGCCACAGGUGGCCCACUGCCACCAGAGCUGGGCACAGGCCCACUUCCAGCUGCUACUCAUGAUGGAGCAAAAACCCUCACUUCUAGCCAUCACCCCUCCAGAUCUGGUACAGAGCCCGGAAAAGGAAGCCUUAGGUGUGAGUGAAGCCUCAGUGAACACACACACGUGUCAGCAAUGGACCAGCUGCUGCCAAAUCACACAACUACGCAACACGUUGCUCAGAAAUGCCAAUGGUGACUAGCAGAGUGCAAACAUUACUAUGACAAUGGAGCAGAGGCCCGGGGCGGCACCGAGCCUUGGUAAGAGCCGACAGAAAUGGCAGGUCACAGGCCGUCACUGAGGAGAACUGCAAUGCGGCAACACUUAUAUGACACUUAAUUUGGGUCA
rnacentral:lncRNA from 1 species